GCUCAGCUAGCUUAGUCAGUAGAUCAUGAGACUUUUAAUCUCAGGGUCAUGGGUUCGAGCCCCAUGUUGGGUG